rnacentral:piRNA from 2 species
UCCUGUGGCUUUGAUAAUAUUUGGGAGA